UUUCAUGCAUCAGAAGAGCCAGCAGACUUUUGUCUCCUUCAAUCCUCCUAGGAAUUUUAUUCUGCUUCUGUUACAGUAGUUUAUUGCAGAUACCCAUUCAAUUAAUUUCGCCAUUCUGCUGCUACAUUAUUUUCUUAAAUCUCCUCUUCUGAAUGUGUAAUUGUGGAAUUCUUAUAUACAGCUGAUUUACUGGAAAAUCCAAAUGAAUAAUCUUGUUUCGCUUUUCUUUUUUCUCUUUGCUAUUGCCAGUGAUUCUAGUAAUCUGAAUGCUAUAUUGCCAGCACAUAUUGUCUUUCUUUUAAUGUGUUAAUUUUCUUGAUAUUGAACAGAUCCCUCUUUCGUAAAUAUCUGAGGAUGCUUAUAAGACAUCUGCUGACUGGCUUAACCAGCGAUUGUUUGAUGCACUUGGUUCCUUUGGUGUAACCAACGACUAUCCUUAAUGUGACCGUUUGAUGCAGUUGGGCAAGUAUAAUAGCUGUAUUAGUAAUGGUCUGGCGUAUAAGGACUGGUCAUUGCUUGCGGCCCCUUGAACCUGCACAUUCUCAGGGUGUCACCAGUCUUAUCUUCUCUCGAGGUAGAAGUCAGAUCUUAAGCACAUCCUUUGACAGCACAGCAAGGUUUUUAUCCUUUGACCAUUUGCUGCGACGGAAUGUCAUCACUAAAUGUUAGAUGUAGUGGUUUUAGCUAAAUGAUGACCUCAGAAUUCAUGGCCUGAAGUAAGGUAAAUAUUUUAAAGAAUUCCGUGGACAUUCAUCUUAUGUGAAUGAUGCUAUGUUUACUUUGAUGGAUCUCGAGUCAGCACCGCAUCUAGCGGUGAAGGUCUGGGAUGCCAAACUACAGAGUGUCUGCAGACAUUCAGACCACCUCCUCCUUUAAGGGGUGGUGAUGCAUCUGUGAAUUCUGUCCAUCCUUUCCCUAAGAAUACAGAGCACAUUACAGUGUGCAAUAAGACGUCAUCUAAAUAUCUGAUGACUCAAGGACAGGCACUCAAGUACACUCUCUCUGUCAUCUGAUUUUCGAAUACUCAGCAAAAUCUGUUUUGGCCUGAAAGCUCUAAUAUCAGAACUGUAGUUGAAAGGAAACUGAAGGAAGUUCUGUUGGUGAAGCACCAUAGACACUCAUUUCGACUGUUCUGCUUUAGGUGGUGUUGGCGGAACUUGUGACUGGACUAACCGCCCUUGAUGAGCAUCAAUCGGAGGAAACUUGAUAUCUAGUUGAGUGGUUCCGCCAGAUAAAAUCGAAUAAAGAAAAUCUCCUUGCUUCCGUUGACCCAGCUCUUCACGUGAAGGAAGAUAUCCAAAAGAGCAUUUGCAUUAUGGCUGAAUUAGCUGGACAUUGCACUGACAGAGAUCCUAAUCAUAGGCCUGACAUGUCACACGCAAUGAAUGUGCUUGGCCAACUAGUUUGAGUUUUGGAAACCUGUAGAAGAAUCGGAUGAAAGUUCAGGAAUUGACUACGCUCUACCUCAAGUAGAGAAAAUCUCCAGGAGAUUAUCUCCUUGCUUUCGUUGACCCAGCUCGUGACGAGAAGGAGAUAUCCACAAGGUUUUAAUUUUAUUUGAAACAGGUUUUAAUUUAGUUUGGGCUGGUUUAAGUUGGCGACGUGGACCUCUAAUUGGAGGUCACGUGUAAAAUUUGUUAUUUUAAAAUCAGUCAUUUGAGCUAUUAAUGGUGAGUGGCAUGGAUGAGUCAUUUUGGUCACGACGAUGGCAUAAGUGAGCUCAACUAUUAACGAGUGUCAUAAAUGAGUCAUUUCGAAUAGUUCAAUGAUAUAUUUGAGCUUUUUCUCCUUUAUGUUUGACGGUCAACAUCUUUAGCUCUUGCUGUCUGUGUUAUCUUCAUUGUCCCGAUUCUCAAAUAUGGGAUUAAGGCUUUGUCCGCAU